rnacentral:rRNA from 1 species
GAUGAACGCUAGCGGCAGGCUUAAUACAUGCAAGUCGAGGGGCAGCACGGUUAGCAAUAACUGGUGGCGACCGGCGCACGGGUGCGUAACACGUAUACAAUCUACCUUAAACAGGGGGAUAGCCUUUCGAAAGAGAGAUUAAUACCCCGUAAUAAAUUGAACGGCAUCGUUUGAUUUUGAAAGCUCCGGCGGUUUGAGAUGAGUAUGCGUCUGAUUAGCUAGUUGGUGAGGUAACGGCUCACCAAGGCGACGAUCAGUAGGGGAUCUGAGAGGACUAACCCCCACACUGGUACUGAGACACGGACCAGACUCCUACGGGAGGCAGCAGUAAGGAAUAUUGGUCAAUGGAGGCAACUCUGAACCAGCCAUGCCGCGUGCAGGAUGACGGCCCUAUGGGUUGUAAACUGCUUUUAUACAAGAGAAAACCCUGGUACGUGUACCAGUUGAUAGUAUUGUAAGAAUAAGCAUCGGCUAACUUCGUGCCAGCAGCCGCGGUAAU